CUUUUUUCUUUAUUUAUCUCCUACAACUAAAAAGAGUAAAAGAUGGACAUUUUUUUGGUGCGACAUUGCUUUCGUCCUGCCUCUGUUGGGCUGGCCGUGCGUCCGCAUCCGCGCUUAUUAGGAAACAACCAAUCGUUUUCCCCUUUUGUCCGCGCGAGCGCCGUGAUCCGCAAGGGCCGCCGCCAAGUGCUCUUUCUCCCCUUCCCCUUUUCCGAGCGCCGCCGCCAAGCGCUCUUCUCCCCUCCUCCUUUUUCGAGCGCCGUGAUCCGCAAGCGCCGCCGCUCUCGGCUGUGGCGAGAUUCCGUACCUGGACGAGAGCUCCGUCGAGACCACAAUCGCGACGAGAGUAGCGUCGGGGCCGCCGCCAAGCGCUGUUCUCGGCCGUGGUGGGAUCCCCUACCUGGACGAGAGCGCCGUCGGGAUAGGGACGAGCGUGGCAGCAGUUGGUCGUCGAAGGGCGUGGCCGCCUGGAGGGGCGCAUGUUGGCUGUCCACCCGAGGAUGCGAUGGGAUUGCACGCGGCCCAACCGGCUCCAGUAGCAGCACCUGGAUCCAUUGUGCAGGUGAGCGAUUACGAUGACAAGUGAGCGGGUGUGCAAAGGAUGGAGGAAGAUGCAGCUCUAGCGAACUCGCACUAGAUCCACGGAACGAAGGCCAAAUGCUGCAGUUGCGGCGCGGUACCUCUACGCACCCACGUCGUGUUCUUUGCCUCCUCAACCCGCCAUGCGUCCUUCGCCUCCUGGCUGCCGGUUCGCCUCCAUCAACGAGCGUUGCCCUCACCUGCUAGGCGGGGCUUGCUGAUUCAUGCCCUGAUGCCAGGUCAUGUAGGUUCAUGGAGUUUAGGUACCUGAGCGUGGAGGCAAUCCUUGUGCAAUUCAUUCUCAUGAUGCAGGUGCAGCAUGUAUUCACAUUUGUCAAAUUCACUGCAGCGUGCGAUAGUGAAUUAACUUUAUAGACUAACUAAAGAUUAGAUCCUUGCUUGUGCGACAUAUAUUAAGUAUCUCAGAUUACUUAUGUUAAUUAAAUGCUAUGCUUCCGAUAGUUUCUUUCGUAUGUCGCAUACAAGGCUUUUGCUCUUUGCAUGGUUGCAUGUUUCAGUAUGAAAUUUGUUUAUUAAAUGCUUGGACAGAGAGGUCUGGUUAUUGCUUGCUUAUUAAAUUUGUUUAUUAAAUUUUGAGGCAUGAAAUACAAUUCAUCUAUGUGUUACGAUGUUAUUGCUUGCUUAUUAGAAAAUUUUGGACACAAUGAGUCGAGGUUCAGUGCUUCCUGAUAUUAUUUAAUUUCUUGGAUAUCAGCACCAUGAGCUCUUAAUGCAAUACUUACAAGAGCCAAAAUUUUGUUUCACAGUUGAGUUGGUAUCUUCUUAAAGAACUUUGUCACAGUAUGAUCUGCUUGAUAGAUCGAUUGAGAAGCUUAGUGACACACUAUGGAAUGUAAGGACUGCUCGUGUUUAAAUCGAUGUACAUCAGCUUCAUUUGUUCUGUUUACUAAUCAUAGUGAAAUGCUACAUGAUUUUUGUGCCUCCACCUUUUUGUCCUGUGCAAAUUCGAGUUAAUAGACUCCUAGCCUUGCUUACUGAAUCAGUUUUAUAUUCAUGUUAAUAGCAAGCCACUUUUUAAAAAAAAACUUAAUAGGAAAUUAUCUCUCAUUGUAAAGAUUUACUACUUAUCCUCUAAUUUUGGGAAUUUAGCAUCCUGCACUUUGGAUGUUGCUGCUGAUGACUACUCACCACAGUGCUUGUGUUGCCAUCUCUCUGCAACAUCGCUGAUCUCACCACUUGCAGUCCCGGAGCCUGCAACAGAUCGACUAUCGUGACGCACCCCACACCCAUUGUACAAUUGAGCAGCAACGAUCGAUAGUCCUCGCCGCCUCUACUUCCUCGUCGCUGUGCCGCCUGUCCAGAUUUUCAUGAGAAAAAUAAAAGGAUUAAAUGCCUACCCAGUCCAAGGCUCUUUGCUACCAUGAAGAAGAGAGUAGUGAAUAACCUCUCGAUGUUCUUUUAGAUUUCCAACUCCGAAAAAAGAGAAGAAACUAUCGUGUUCAGGCCUUGCGGUGAUGUGGAUUGAGGACUAUGAAUUUUAAAAUAAUUUACUAUCAUCAUCUACAUGCCAUCUAAAUAUUUUUAUUUAGAAUUGACUAUAUACUAAUCACUGACAAUAUUUAUUCUAAUGCAGUAUGUAACCACAACCAUGGAGCUAUUGGAAUAGCUUGGAGCAAAGACUACGAAGAUGUACUUUUAGCGAUGGCGUAAUAGUGAAAUUUUUUUGGAGUACUAAAAAUGUGCUGGCUAUUUCGUGACAUAGCUAAUGUUUCUCAAUGAUCCAUUAUUUUAGAAAAAAAUGAAAAUAAUCUUCCAUAGUAAAUAAAAUUGUUGUACAUAAAUCUCAAUACAUCUUGUUUGUGCAUCAGUAUCACUAAUCCAUUUUUUAUUUUCCAUGAGUCAGUAUAAAUCCUAAAGUAUGUGCAGGUCACCAGUGGCUUGCGACAAUUUCCUGACGCUUCUUGUAGAGAUUGUGCAGGUCAUGCUAGACAAGCGCUAUAUUUUGCAGGAGUCAUACGGUAGCUUCAAGGUGUUGUGACCGUAACUGAUAGUGCAUUCCUGAUGGUGUGGUGGUGAAGCCAAUGCAAAUUGGUGGGAGAGAUGACUUGCAGUAUAAAUGGUUUUCAAUGCUAUGAUGGUCAGAUUAGUCGAACAUUUUACAAACUUCAGCACUAUGACCAGAGAAAUGUAAUCCAUUUUAAUGCCUAGAGUUAGUGAGUGAAUCAAGUUGUGUAAUUUGGGUGACCUAUGGGAAAAAUAAGUUCUGUGAGUAGUAGAUGGUACACAAUUUAUCUACCUAUUGUAUACAGUUUAUUAUCUAUGACGGAGAGCUUGAGAAAUAUUAUUUGAAAUCAUAAUGCACAUGAAUAUUUGUAUUUACUUGAGCAUGUGUA